rnacentral:rRNA from 1 species
AUUGAACGCUGGCGGCAGGCCUAACACAUGCAAGUCGAACGAGUGGCGGACGGGUGAGUAAUGUCUGGGAAACCGCCCGAUGGAGGGGUAUCACUACUGGAAACGGUAGCUAAUACCGCAUACCCUCGGAUGUGCCCAGAUGGGAUUAGCUAGUAGGUGGGGUAACGGCUCACCUAGGCGACGAUCCCUAGCUGGUCUGAGAGGAUGACCAGCCACACUGGGACUGAGACACGGCCCAGACUCCUACGGGAGGCAGCAGUGGGGAAUAUUGCACAAUGGGCGCAAGCCUGAUGCAGCCAUGCCGCGUGUAUGAAGAAGGCCUUCGGGUUGUAAAGUACUUUCAGUGGGGAGGCGUUACCGGCAGAAGAAGCACCGGCUAACUCCGUGCCAGCAGCCGCGGUAAUUC